AGCAGCCGCGGUAAUUCCAGCUCCAAUAGCGUAUAUUAAAGUUGUUGCAGUUAAAAAGCUCGUAGUUGAAUUUCGGGGUCAGUAGGUUGGUCGUGCCACUGGUAUGCACUGGUCUCACUGAUUCCUCCUUCCUGAUGAGCCGUAAUGCCAUUAAUUUGGUGUUGCGGGGAAUCUGGACUGUUACUUUGAAAAAUUAGAGUGUUUAAAGCAGGCUAACGCUUGAAUACAUUAGCAUGGAAUAAUGAAAUAGGACGAUCGAUCCUAUUUGUUGGUUCUAAGAUUGACGUAAUGAUUAAUAGGGAUAGUUGGGGGCAUUAGUAUUCAAUUGUCAGAGGUGAAAUUCUUGGAUUUA
rnacentral:rRNA from 1 species